rnacentral:rRNA from 1 species
UACGAAGGGGGCUAGCGUUGCUCGGAAUGACUGGGCGUAAAGGGCGCGUAGGCGGCUCAUACAGUCAGAUGUGAAAUUCCUGGGCUUAACCUGGGGGCUGCAUUUGAUACGUGUGGGCUUGAGUGGGGAAGAGGGUCGUGGAAUUCCCAGUGUAGAGGUGAAAUUCGUAGAUAUUGGGAAGAACACCGGUGGCGAAGGCGGCGACCUGGUCCUUGACUGACGCUGAGGCGCGGAAGCGUGGGGAGCAAACAGG